rnacentral:piRNA from 1 species
UGCCAAAAUCAAGAACAUAAAGGUUUAUGCG